rnacentral:rRNA from 1 species
UACGUAGGGGGCUAGCGUUGUCCGGAAUCAUUGGGCGUAAAGCGCGCGUAGGCGGCCCGGUAAGUCCGCUGUGAAAGUCAAAGGCUCAACCUUUGAAUGUCAGCGGAUACUGCCGGGCUAGAGUCCGGAAGAGGCGAGUGGAAUUCCUGGUGUAGCGGUGGAAUGCGCAGAUAUCAGGAGGAACACCAACGGCGAAGGCAGCUCGCUGGGACGGUACUGACGCUGGAGGCGCGAAAAGCGUGGGGAGCGAACAGG